rnacentral:rRNA from 1 species
AUUGAACGCUAGCGGGAUGCUUUACACAUGCAAGUCGAACGAGUGGCGGACUGGUGAGUAAUAUAUCGAAACGUGCCCAGUAGCGGGGGAUAACUAGGCGAAAGCGUGGCUAAUACUGCAUACUAUUGGAGCGGCCGAUAUCGGAUUAGCUAGGUGGUGGGGUAAAGGCGCACCAAGGCAACGAUCCGUAGCUGGUUUGAGAGGACGACCAGCCACACUGGGACUGAGACACGGCCCAGACUCCUACGGGAGGCAGCAGUGGGGAAUUUUGGACAAUGGGGGAAACCCUGAUCCAGCAAUCCCGCGUGUAUGAGAAGGCCUUCGGGUUGUAAAGUACUUUUGUCAGAGAAGCGGUAUCUGCAGAAUAAGCCACGGCUAACUACGUGCCAGCAGCCGCGGUAAUAC